UGCAGUCGAGCGCGCCCUUCGGGGUGAGCGGCGGACGGGUUAGUAACGCGUGGGAAUAUACCCUUUGGUACGGAAUAGCCUCUGGAAACGGAGAGUAAUACCGUAUGAGCCCUUCGGGGGAAAGAUUUAUCGCCAAAGGAUUAGCCCGCGUUAGAUUAGGUAGUUGGUGGGGUAAUGGCCUACCAAGCCUACGAUCUAUAGCUGGUUUUAGAGGAUGAUCAGCAACACUGGGACUGAGACACGGCCCAGACUCCUACGGGAGGCAGCAGUGGGGAAUCUUGGACAAUGGGGGCAACCCUGAUCCAGCCAUGCCGCGUGAGUGAUGAAGGCCUUAGGGUCGUAAAGCUCUUUCGCCUGUGAAGAUAAUGACGGUAGCAGGUAAAGAAACCCCGGCUAACUCCGUGCCAGCAGCCGCGGUAAUACGGAGGGGGUUAGCGUUGUUCGGAAUUACUGGGCGUAAAGCGCACGUAGGCGGACUGGAAAGUUGGGGGUGAAAUCCCGGGGCUCAACCCCGGAACUGCCUCCAAAACUAUCAGUCUAGAGUUCGAGAGAGGUGAGUGGAAUUCCGAGUGUAGAGGUGAAAUUCGUAGAUAUUCGGAGGAACACCAGUGGCGAAGGCGGCUCACUGGCUCGAUACUGACGCUGAGGUGCGAAAGUGUGGGGAGCAAACAGGAUUAGAUACCCUGGUAGUCCACACCGUAGACGAUGAAUGCCAGUCGUCGGGUAGCAUGCUAUUCGGUGACACACCUAACGGAUUAAGCAUUCCGCCUGGGGAGUACGGUCGCAAGA
rnacentral:rRNA from 1 species